AUGAUUCCGGUCUAGAGUAUCCUCGUAUCUGCCGAUUAAAGUAAUGACUAUCAGGAACGAAAUAAUCCUUUACUAUUUUUUAGUUUAAGCCCCAUUCGUGGUGUUAUCAGAUCCGAAAGCAGAAUAGGAACGAAAAAGAAACAAUAAAUAAUAAAAAAGAAAUCUUUUUUUUUAUUCUUUCUUUCAUAGAUAUAGAGAGAUCUAAUACUUGUCAUGAUUUAUGAGCUAAUGGAAUGUUUCAUUUUUUUCGUAAUAGAAAGCAAUAGGUUGAAAUAUCUAUUGAUAUUCUACAAGAAGUAUUUUAUUGAAGGCUUAAGUUAUUACUCAACAAAUAAAAAUUCAAAUUAUGAACGGGCGAGAUCAAUUCAGAAGCACUUUUUUUUUAUUCUUCAGAAUAU
rnacentral:lncRNA from 1 species